CAUUACGCCUGGUUAAACGAGGCUUUCCAGAUCUUUGCUUAUUCCUUUGUCUAGGGUUUGCCAUCUUAUCUAUUUAGAGAUAAAUGGGGGGAAAUGGAAAUUGGUAAGCAAUCAAAAAAAUUUGGUUGUUCGUGAGUUUAAGUGGAGGUGAAUGUAGACUACGUGCAGUAUGUCUACAUAAUAUUUCAACGAAACACAAUAAGAUAGUUCUGUGACCUAGUUUAACAAUGACUGUUGUCCAUUUAAUUUAUAUUUCUCAAAUUAAUAGACGUUGACAGUUAUCACAUUUAUCAUCAAUCCUUUUGGUAUUGUAUAAAAUUUAAGUACCCUCAUCUUUUUUUUGUCUACAUUAUAAAGCUGUAUGAAUUGUGAAACGAUAUAAUAUUCUCAUAGAGAUUUCAAUAAAAUCUUGAAACAAAAUUUAUAAAUUGAUCUUCCUCAACGAAUACACUAAUUUUAGUGGCAUUCCAAUAUCUAGCACUAACUGUAAAUUUCUAAAAAUUCCCAAGAAUUGUUGAAGUCGAGAAA